rnacentral:pre_miRNA from 1 species
AAUAUACUCCCUCCGUCCCAAAAUUCUUGUUUUAGAUUUGUCUAAAUAUGGAUGUAUCAAGUCACGUUUUAGUAUUAGAUACAUCCAUAUCUAGACAAAUAUAAGACAAGAAUUUUAGGACGGAGAGAGUAUAAA